CAGGUCUUGGCCAAACAACAGCUGAGGUACGAAGGGCUCUGGAACAACCUUCGACCUCUUCAAUCUCCUCCACAGACACCGUCACAGCGCUACCCCUUCAUUGGCCGCAAUCUUUUGCCGAAACCGGAAACUGUAACGUCAACAGGAGACGAGCCCCCACUGUGGC